GCCGGCGACCGGCGCACGGGUGAGUAACGCGUAUGCAACUUGCCUAUCAGAGGGGGAUAACCCGGCGAAAGUCGGACUAAUACCGCAUGAAGCAGGGAUCCCGCAUGGGGAUAUUUGCUAAAGAUUCAUCGCUGAUAGAUAGGCAUGCGUUCCAUUAGGCAGUUGGCGGGGUAACGGCCCACCAAACCGACGAUGGAUAGGGGUUCUGAGAGGAAGGUCCCCCACAUUGGUACUGAGACACGGACCAAACUCCUACGGGAGGCAGCAGUGAGGAAUAUUGGUCAAUGGCCGAGAGGCUGAACCAGCCAAGUCGCGUGAGGGAUGAAGGUUCUAUGGAUCGUAAACCUCUUUUAUAAGGGAAUAAAGUGCGGGACGUGUCCCGUUUUGUAUGUACCUUAUGAAUAAGGAUCGGCUAACUCCGUGCCAGCAGCCGCGGUAAUACGGAGGAUCCGAGCGUUAUCCGGAUUUAUUGGGUUUAAAGGGUGCGUAGGCGGCCUUUUAAGUCAGCGGUGAAAGUCUGUGGCUCAACCAUAGAAUUGCCGUUGAAACUGGGGGGCUUGAGUAUGUUUGAGGCAGGCGGAAUGCGUGGUGUAGCGGUGAAAUGCAUAGAUAUCACGCAGAACCCCGAUUGCGAAGGCAGCCUGCCAAGCCAUUACUGACGCUGAUGCA
rnacentral:rRNA from 1 species